rnacentral:rRNA from 1 species
GACGAACGCUAGCGGCGUGCUUAACACAUGCAAGUCGAACGGAAAGGCCCUUCGGGGUACUCGAGUGGCGAACGGGUGAGUAACACGUGGGUGAUCUGCCCUGCACUUUGGGAUAAGCCUGGGAAACUGGGUCUAAUACCGAAUAGGACCACGCGCUUCAUGGUGUGUGGUGGAAAGCUUUUGCGGUGUGGGAUGGGCCCGCGGCCUAUCAGCUUGUUGGUGGGGUAAUGGCCUACCAAGGCGACGACGGGUAGCCGGCCUGAGAGGGUGACCGGCCACACUGGGACUGAGAUACGGCCCAGACUCCUACGGGAGGCAGCAGUGGGGAAUAUUGCACAAUGGGCGCAAGCCUGAUGCAGCGACGCCGCGUGAGGGAUGACGGCCUUCGGGUUGUAAACCUCUUUCAAUAGGGACGAAGCGCAAGUGACGGUACCUAUAGAAGAAGCACCGGCCAACUACGUG